ACGUCUACAUUAGAUACCCCGGUAGUCCUAGCCGUAAACGAUACUCGCUAGGUGUCGGCCACGGUGCGACCGAUGUCGGUGCCGUAGGGAAGCCGUGAAGCGAGCCACCUGGGAAGUACGGCCGCAAGGCUGAAACUUAAAGGAAUUGGCGGGGGAGCGCAACAACGGGUGGAGCUUGCGGUUUAAUUGGAUUCAACGCCGGAAAUCUUACCGGGACCGACAGCAACAUGAAGGCCAAGCUGAAGACUUUGCCGGAUUAGCUG
rnacentral:rRNA from 1 species